UACGAAGGGUGCAAGCGUUACUCGGAAUUACUGGGCGUAAAGCGUGCGUAGGUGGUGAGUUAAGUCUGUCGUGAAAGCCCGGGCUCAACCUGGGAAUGGCGAUGGAUACUGGCUCGCUAGAGUGCGGUAGAGGAGAGUGGAAUUCCCGGUGUAGCAGUGAAAUGCGUAGAGAUCGGGAGGAACAUCAGUUGCGAAGGCGGCUCUCUGGACCAGCGACU
rnacentral:rRNA from 1 species